rnacentral:rRNA from 1 species
UACGUAGGGGGCAAGCGUUGUCCGGAUUUAUUGGGCGUAAAGCGCGUGUAGGCGGCCAGGUAGGUCCGCUGUGAAAACCCGAGGCUCAACCUCGGGACGUCGGCGGAAACCAUUUGGCUAGAGUCCGGAAGAGGAGAGUGGAAUUCCUGGUGUAGCGGUGAAAUGCGCAGAUAUCAGGAGGAACACCUAUUGCGAAGGCAGCUCGCUGGGACGUAACUGACGCUGAGACGCGAAAGCGUGGGGAGCAAACAGG